rnacentral:rRNA from 1 species
GUCGAGGGGCAGCACGGUUUUCGGACUGGUGGCGACCGGCGCACGGGUGCGUAACGCGUAUGCAAUCUACCCUGUACUGAGGGAUAGCCCGGGGAAACUCGGAUUAAUACCUCAUAGUAUCACAGAUAGGCAUCUUGAAGUGAUUAAAGAUUUAUCGGUACAGGAUGAGCAUGCGUCUGAUUAGUUAGUUGGUGAGGUAAUGGCUCACCAAGACCACGAUCAGUAGGGGUUCUGAGAGGAUGAUCCCCCACACUGGCACUGAGAUACGGGCCAGACUCCUACGGGAGGCAGCAGUAGGGAAUAUUGGUCAAUGGGCGAGAGCCUGAACCAGCCAUGCCGCGUGCAGGAUGACGGCCUUCUGGGUUGUAAACUGCUUUUAUAUGGGAAGAAAAAGGCCUUGCGAGGCAAAUUGCCGGUACCAUAUGAAUAAGCACCGGCUAACUCCGUGCCAGCAGCCGCGGUAAUACGGAGGGUGCAAGCGUUGUCCGGAUUUAUUGGGUUUAAAGGGUACGUAGGCGGAUCUUUAAGUCCGUGGUGAAAGCCUACAGCUUAACUGUAGAACUGCCAUGGAUACUGGAGAUCUUGAAUUCAGUUGAGGUAAGCGGAAUUUAUGAUGUAGCGGUGAAAUGCAUAGAUAUCAUAAAGAACACCUAUUGCGAAGGCAGCUUGCUGGACUUG